GCAAGUCGAGGGGUAACAGGGGUGCUUGCACCCGCUGACGACCGGCGCACGGGUGCGUAACGCGUAUAGAACUUACCUUUUACAGGGGGAUAGCCUUUAGAAAUGAAGAUUAAUAUCCCAUAGUAUUAUGAAAUGGCAUCAUUUUGUAAUUAAAGAUUUAUCGGUAAAAGAUGGCUAUGCGUCCUAUUAGCUAGAUGGUAAGGUAACGGCUUACCAUGGCUACGAUAGGUAGGGGCCCUGAGAGGGGGAUC
rnacentral:rRNA from 1 species